UACGUAGGGGGGCAAGCGUUGUCCGGAAUCAUUGGGCGUAAAGAGCUCGUAGGCGGUUUUGUCGCGUCUGCUGUGAAAACCCGAGGCUCAACCUCGGGCCUGCAGUGGGUACGGGCAGACUAGAGUGCGGUAGGGGAGAUUGGAAUUCCUGGUGUAGCGGUGAAAUGCGCAGAUAUCAGGAGGAACACCGAUGGCGAAGGCAGGUCUCUGGGCCAUAACUGACGCUGAGAAGCGAAAGCAUGGGGGAGCGAACAGG
rnacentral:rRNA from 1 species